rnacentral:lncRNA from 1 species
UUUAUGUAAGGUUUAUGUAGAAGAGAGUUUUAUUCUGAUUAUUGUAAUAAGUUCUUAUGAACUAUUUUUGCACCGACGUUGCGCACCUUUUCACAGUAAUUGGGCUGUUAUGACGUCAUUUGAUCAGACGUUUAGUGCAAAGAUAUGAACCUUAUAAGGAAGUUUCCUUAUUAGGUCAUUGAUUUCACCCAUAUUUGGAAUUUCUCCCACGCGAAACAACAACACUAGCGUAAGAUUGAUAGUAUUUUACGUCAGUUCCAGCUUGUCCCUACCGCCGGCUAGCAGCUUUAUUUACGUGUCUCAUAAAUUUCAAGGUACAGUUUUUCUAAAGCAGCAGUUUAAGUUCCAGAAUGUUGCAAUAUAUAUGCAAUAUAAUUAUUUAUGCAGUUCAUUUAAUUGUUCCGGUUUCCAGUUUUUAACGGAGGCAGAAAUUUAAUAGUUUUCUUGUUUUCUAAAUAUUAUAAGUUUUGAGAAUAAAGUUUGAUAAUGAAUUUCAACUUUGAAUAGGAGAAAGGUGCGUAAAGUCGGCAAAAGUGUCCGUCUGUUUUAAAUACUCAGUGUUGCUGUUAAUAUAUUUUCAUGAUAUAGAAAGAGGGUUACGGAAAUUGAGACUUAUUUAUUUGUGUAGUAUUUUACAUGUAUUUAUAUGGAGAGUUGCUGAUAUAAUCUGUGUUUCCUGAAUGUUGAUUUUUGGUGUAGUCUAGCUAUUUUAGAGUAUUAUCUUAUGUCCGUCUAAUCUAUACGGACUAUUGUUAAUUGUUGAUUGUUGUUUUAAGAGAUUUAUUUCUGUUAAUUCCGGUUCCAGUUGUUUUAAUAUUAUGUCUGGUGAAUAAAAGUUAUUAUACACUUGAAAC